AUGAAAUGCUUAAGGAGGGUUAAUAUCCUAUAUAAAUAAUGGUUUGGUUUAAUCUUAAAUGAUAAAUUGAAUAUUUUUACAAAGUCUAAAUAAGUAUUGAAAUGUCACUGUGUGUGUGUGUGUGUGUGUGUGAGUGUGAGUGAGAGAGGAAGAAUAUGAAUGGAAGGAUGAAGGUCCUUUUACUAAGGCUUCUCUUUUCCUUCCCACGGGCUUGUCACA
rnacentral:sRNA from 1 species